GAUGAAGAACGCAACGAAAUGCGAUAAGUAAUGUGAAUUGCAGAAUUCAGUGAAUCAUCGAAUCUUUGAACGCACAUUGCGCCCGCCAGUAUUCUGGCGGGCAUGCCUGUUCGAGCGUCAUUUCAACCAUCAAGCCCCAGGCUUGUGUUGGGGACCUGCGGCUGCCGCAGGCCCUGAAAACCAGUGGCGGGCUCGCUGUCACACCGGGCGUAGUAGAUUUUAUCUCGCUCUGGGCGUGCUGCGGGUUCCGGCCGUUAAAAAACCCUUUUAACCCAAGGUUGACCCCGGAUCAGGUAGGAAUACCCGCUGAACUUAAGCAUAUCAAUAAGCGGAGGA
rnacentral:misc_RNA from 1 species